rnacentral:lncRNA from 1 species
CAGGAAUUUCUCAUCUUAGACUUCAGCAGUUGGAGGAGGAAUAAAAAGCAAGUCUGGACUUAUUGCCAUCAUGUCUUUACAUUUUGACCUAAUCCCGAUAAUUCUACACGGUAAACAAGCAAUGAUGAUGUCUGACAUG